UACGUAGGGUGCGAGCGUUAUCCGGAUUCACUGGGUUUAAAGGGUGCGUAGGUGGGCAGGUAAGUCAGUGGUGAAAUCUCUGGGCUUAACCCGGAAACUGCCGUUGAUACUAUCUGUCUUGAAUAUAGUGGAGGUGAGCGGAAUAUGUCAUGUAGCGGUGAAAUGCUUAGAUAUGACAUAGAACAUCGAUUGCGAAGGCAGCUCGCUACACUAUGAUUGACACUGAGGCACGAAAGCGUGGGGAUCAAACAGG
rnacentral:rRNA from 1 species